rnacentral:lncRNA from 1 species
AACAACAUACCCAUGUGAAACUGUCUCUACGUCUUCAAAGCAAAAUGAGCAAAAGUCUGCGGAGCUCUAGGUCUAAGAUAGGAAGUUAGGGGUCUCGCUGAAAACUGUGAUGCGUAGCAUGGCUGUAUUAGGGUAGGAUAUGAAGUCGAAGGUCUCUCUAUGCCCUGUGCGGCAUAAUAAGGCAGUGUUAGUGUGGGAGGUAAGUAAGCCUGAUCAUACGACUG